rnacentral:rRNA from 1 species
UGUACGCGAGUCUUUGGGUAAUUAAAACCUCUAAAGGCGUAAUGAAAGUAAACGAAAGUUAACUUUCUGAGGGAAGAUGGGUGUUUGUACCUUACGGUCGGCACUCCGCACUCCCGGGGCGCUCUGAACUCCUUUGGAGUAGGGGCGCACCUAGAGCGUACGCGAUGAUACCCGAAAGAUGGUGAACUAUGCCUGGCCAGGACGAAGCCAGGGGAAACCCUGGUGGAGGUCUGCAGCGAUUCUGACGUGCAAAUCGAUCGUCGGAGCUAGGUAUAGGGGCGAAAGACCAAUCGAACCAUCUAGUAGCUGGUUCCCUCUGAAGUUUCCCUCAGGAUAGCUAGCGCUCGUGUGCGACGAGUCUCAUCCGGUAGAGCGAAUGAUUAGAGGCAUUGGGGUCGAAACGGCCUCAACCUAUUCUCAAACUCCAAACGGAUGAGAACCCCGGCUUGCUUAAAAGUGAAGCCGCGGGGAGUCAAUCACGGAUCAGAGCGUUAAGUGGGCCAUUUUU